AACACUAUUUUGAUAUAUAAAACGGCCGCAAAGGUUUAAAGAAACGUGAUAAAUUAGGUUUAAGUUCGCCAAAAAGAACUAAGUUUAGACUGGUUUUAGAGGUAGCCAUUAAGUACUUCGUCAUAAAUUAGGUUUAAGUUCGCCAAAAGGAACUGUGUUUAGACCGGUUUUAGAGGUAACCGUCAAAUACUUCGUAACAAAUUAGCGCGCAAAUGUCUAUGUGUGUGUAUGUGUCUAGAAGUAAGUUGAUUUACAGCACAAUAAGCUGCUGAACUACUUCUAUUUUAUUUGUUUUCUUUGCUGAGGCUCACGUACUGGUGACAAAGGAGAACGGUUGGGUUUCAUCUCAUAAAACUGGUACCGCUUCACCUAUAGGCUAUAGGGUGAAGUCGAAGGCCGUAUCAGUAAACCACUCCGAAGUCAGGCGUGCCAGUGACGGCCCAGCAAAAUCUUGGAAAAUGGGGAAUAAACAAGCAAAAUUAACACCUGAUGAGGAAUGGUUAGAAAAACAACAAACAGGAGCAGGUAGAAUAAGUGCAAAUAGGUGGAGAAAUCCACAAAAAGCAAAGAACCGCAGCUGGGAAGGGAAAUGCAAUCCCUCAGCUGUUACCCAGCUGAAAGCUGUCCUGAAACAAGAAAUUACAUUAACAAAAGACCCAAAGAAGAAAUUAAAACGUGAAGAAGAAUAUAAACUUUUCCAAGCAUGGGAAACUGAAGCUGAAAGGAGAACUGAAAAUAAGAAAAAGAAA